CGCCUCUCAGGAUCGCACAUGGAGAGUUUCCAACACUCUACCAGUCCUGGCUUCAGGAGGAAGAGUCAAGCAAAGGCCUACCCAUUCCAUUCCUAGCUUGGCCAGUGGCUAGUGAGUGGAGGACAAUUUGCUACAAUU